rnacentral:rRNA from 1 species
ACUUCCCAGGCCAAGGAGCCGGCAUCAGGCACAACCCAAUUGCCCACGACACCUAGUCUCACCACACCCCCAAGGGUGAUCAGCAGUGGUAAACUUUGCGCAUAAGCGACAGCUUGACUCAGUUAGAGAAAAGAGAGCCGGCUAACCUGGUGCCAGCCGCCGCGGCUAUACCCUGGGGCUCAAGUUGAUAAACACCGGCGUCAAGCGUGGUUAAAGCUUACGUAAAUUAGGGUCAAAUUGACACUUAGUAGUUAAAAGCUUGUCAUCAAGAAAACCAUAAACGAAAGUUACCCUAAUUAUACUUGAAUACACGACAGCUGGGAGGCAAACUAGGAUCAGAUACCCUACUAUGCCCAGCCGUAAACAAUUAACUUACACCAACCAACGCCAGGGGAUUACGAGCCAUGCUUAAAACCCAAAGGACUUGACGGUGUCCCAUUCCCCCUAGAGGAGCCUGUUCUGUAAUCGAUGAUCCCCGCUAUACCCAACCAUUCCUUGCUCCAGUCUGUAUACCUCCGUCGAAAGUCUACCCUGUGAACGCAAGUAGACCUAAUGCCCCCAUACGUCAGGUCAAGGUGCAGCUCACGGAAUGGAAAGUAAUGGGCUACAAUUUCUAGUAUAGAACAAACGAACGACUAUGUGAAACCGUGGUCACGAAGGUGGAUUUAGUAGUAAAAAGAAAAUAGAGUGUUCUUUUUAACCGGCUCUGG